rnacentral:rRNA from 1 species
CAGCCGCCGCGGUAAUACCGGCGGCCCGAGUGGCGGUCACUAUUAUUGGGCUUAAAGCGUCCGUAGCCGGGUUGGGAAGUCCUCCGGGAAAUCUGGCCGCUUAACGGUCAGAAUGCCGGAGGAUACUCCCAGCCUAGGGAGCGGGAGAGGCCGAGGGUAUUCCCGGGGUAGGGGUGAAAUCCUAUAAUCCCGGGAGGACCACCUGUGGCGAAGGCGCUCGGCUGGAACGGGUCCGACGGUGAGGGACGAAGGCCAGGGGAGCAAACCGGAUUAGAUACCCGGGUAGUCCUGGCUGUAAACGAUGCGGACUUUGUGUCGGACAAGCUAUGAGCUUGUCCGGUGCCGGAGGGAAACCGUUAAGUCCGCCGCCUGGGGAGUACGGCCGCAAGGCUGAAACUUAAAGGAAUUGGCGGG